GAGCGACGCCGCGUGAACGAAGAAGGCAGAAAUGUUGUAAAGUUCUUUUAUACGGGAAGAAUAAGGGCAGGAGUGGAAAGUCUGUCUGAUGACGGUACCGUAUGAAUAAGCCACGGCUAACUACGUGCCAGCAGCCGCGGUAAUACGUAGGUGGCAAGCGUUGUUCGGAAUUAUUGGGCGUAAAGGGCAUGUAGGCGGUAAGAUAAGUGUGAAUUGAAAGACUGAGGCUUAACCUCACGUUUGGUUUGCAAACUGUCUAACUAGAGUGCAGAAGGGGAAACUGGAAUUCCGCGUGUAGGGGUGAAAUCUGUAGAUAUGCGGAAGAAUACCUGUGGCGAAGGCGAGUUUCUGGUCUGUAACUGACGCUGAAAUGCGAAAGUGUGGGGAGCAAACAGGAUUAGAUACCCUGGUAGUCCACACUGUAAACGUUGUACACUAGGUGUUAGGGGUAUCGACCCCCCUAGUGCCGUAGCUAACGCGAUAAGUGUACCGCCUGGGGAGUAUGCUCGCAAGGGUGAAACUCAAAGGAAUUGACGGGGGCCCGCACAAGCGGUGGAGCAUGUGGUUUAAUUCGAUGGUACGCGAAAAACCUUACCAAGGCUUGACAUAUGUUUGACAGAUACAGAGAUGUGUCUCUCUCUUCGGAGACAGAUAUACAGGUGCUGCAUGGCUGUCGUCAGCUCGUGUUGUGAGAUGUUGGGUUAAGUCCCGCAACGAGCGCAACCCUUACUGUUAGUUGCCAUCAGGUAAUGCUGGGCACUCUAGCGGAACUGCCGGUGGCAAACCGGAGGAAGGUGGGGAUGACGUCAAGUCCUCAUGGCCCUUAUGCCUUGGGCUACACACGUGCUACAAUGGGCUGCACAAAGGGUAGCAAUCCCGCGAGGGGGAGCCAAUCCCAAAAAACAGUCCGUAGUUCAGAUUGGAGUCUGCAACUCGACUCCAUGAAGUUGGAAUCGCUAGUAAUCACAGAUCAGCACGCUGUGGUGAAUACGUUCCCGGGCCUUGUACACACCGCCCGUCACACCACCCGAGUUGAGGACACCCGAAGUUAUUACCCUAACCGCAAGGAGGGGGGUACCUAAGGUGUGCUUAGUGAGGGGGGUGAAGUCGUAACAAGGUAACCGUACUGGAAAGUG
rnacentral:rRNA from 1 species